GGGGAAAAAAAAAAGGAAAGACAAAGACAAACAGAAAGAAGAAGAAGGAAGAAAAAAUCGACGAAAAGAAAAAAAAAGAAAAGAAGGAAAAAAGAAAAAAGCGAUAAAAGAGAAAAAAGAAAAUAAAGAAAACCGGAAAAACAAAAAGAGAAAGAAGAAAAAAGAACAAAAAGAAAAAAAAAGAAAAGAAAGAGAAAAAAGAAAAAAAAAGGAAAAGAAAGAAAGAAGGAAAGAAAAAAAGAAGGAAGAAAAGACUAAAAGAAAGAAAGGGGGAAAAAAAAAAAAGAAAGAGGCAAAAGGAAGCAAAAGAGGUGGGGAAGCUGCUCCCCCUGCACCCCCCGGUGGGAUGCGCCUGGUUGUGCGGGGGGCGCAGUGCCGGGCGGGAGGGGCGGGUUCGGGCUGCAGGAAGCCCCCUGCCCACAUGGAAGGAGCUGUGAAGAGGAAUCGUGGCAUCAGAAAGCGUUGCCGUGUUCCCACUUCAUUUCCUAGUGCCAGAUAAUUGCUUUUUCAACUCAGUUGAGACUCGGUUUGUGCUGUUGCUGUUGCCGCUCCUCUGCGAGCUUCUGUGUCUGUCUCAGGCACCCGUGUCUCCUGUUAGUCUCGUGCUCGCUCUCUGGACGGGGUUGAUAACAAAUGAUGUUCAGUGCUAAGUUCAGUAACGGCAUCCAGAAGGCGCACGGCGAGGAGGUGGCAGUGGCGACAGGAGGGAAUUGCCAUGUUCCUGGGCUGUCCCUGUGCCCCGUCAGCUGUGGAGCCCUAUAGGCCGUGCAGCCGGGCCCUUCUCCUUCACCAGACCGAUGCUACCGCUCUCAGGUGAGAUGUCCCUUCUGCGUGACAUCAUGUCACAUCAGAGUGCUUUGGGCAGUGUGGCUGCGAGGCACGCGGAUGAACCGAGGAAGCCGUUCACAGCUGAAUUAAGUGCUGGCUUCUCUCACAGGGCUUUGGCUCAACUUUUUCUUCUCCCGAAUCCUCCUGCUCCUGGAUGUACGUAAUUAAAUGACAACCCCAGCUCUUGUGAGAAAUAAAAAAUACGCUUUCUAUACAUCACGAUUCUGGAGGGACGCUUUAAAAAGUGAUUCGACGUUCCCCUAAAUGUGCAGCGACCAACGGAGAAAUAAAAUGAAACCCACGUUUAUUAUUAGGAAAAAUCUUGAAACUUUUAGCCGUGCUUGUCAUUUUUAAAACUGACUUAUGAUUUAGAUGAGACACUAAGAACAGCUUCCUAAUGGGAAGAUGGGAAGCACGAGAAUAGAUUGCCUGCAGUGGCAGUGGGAGGAUUUGAAAAUUGGGUGGACAAAUGUCUGCCGGAAUGCAGCAGCUGCAGCCCAUCCGGCCCCAUGCAUUGGACACACCAGGACCCCUUCGUGCCCCUGUGGACAGGGGCUGUCACACCUGGGGUUGCUCCCUGCCCGGUGCUGCCUUUCCGCUUGACUUCUCUGUGCUUACUUUUUGGGCAUAAGCAGCUCCUCUGGGCAGCCAGGAGCAAGGCAGGGGGUCACCUUCUCUGCACACGUUAUACAUGAAUAAACACCUUCCUAGGAUUACUUAACCCAAGUCUGCUGUGCGCCUGUUUCCCUGCUGACACACCAUUAGCAUCUGAAGCAUCUAUAUUUCCCGAAUUGCACUGAGAUAACUUAUCGCUCCAGCUGCUUAUCUCAGACCUGCCCCGUGGAUCCAGGGGAAAGAUUUCCCCUUUAGCGCUAACAACGGGUGCC
ensembl:lncRNA